UGGCUCAGAGGUUAAAGCGUCUGCCUGCAAUGCAGGAGACCUGGAUUCGAUCCCUAG
rnacentral:tRNA from 1 species